rnacentral:lncRNA from 1 species
UAAGUUAUGAUCACCUCCCCUUUCAUUUGAAAAACUGUUUUGCUUUUUGUUCUUUGUUUCCACAAGAUUUUUUAAUUGAGAAGCAAAUGCUGAUUCGACUUUGGAUUGCACAAGGAUUUGUUCAGUCAUCAGGCGAAAAUAUCAGUUUAGAAGAUAUUGGUGAAAAGUACUUCAUGGAUUUUGUUCCAAAAUAUCACCGAACGGUUUGGCAAGGUAUGUUUCCAAAUGCAUGAUAUUCUGCAUGAUUUGGCCAGUGUUAUUUCAAGAAGCGACUAUGUUUUAGUUAAUGAAACGGGGCAACAUGUUGACAAAGACAUUCGUCAUGUCUCUUUUGGCUUUAAAUUUGAUUCUUCCUGGCAGGUUCCAACUUCUCUUCUCAAUGCUUACAAACUAAGGACAUUUUUAUUACCACUUCAUACAAUUUAUUAUGAGUUUUCAAUGGAAGUGUCUGCGCAUGCUUGUAAUUCCAUCUUGUCAAGUUUUACACGGUUUCGUGUGUUGCAUCUUAACUGCACAGUGUCAAUGAAGAUUCCAUCUUGUAUUGGUAGGAUGAAACAUCUAAGGUAUCUUGACCUUUCUUUAAGUCAUAGAGUUAAAGAGCUUCCAAGGUCUAUAACUGGAUUGAUUAAUUUGGAGACUCUUUUACUCAAUCAUUGUUUUAGCUUGAGAGAGUUGCCCAAAGAUCUUUGGAAGUUGGUAAGUCUUCGACAUCUUGAGUUGGAGAGGUGCUCUGCAUUAACUUGUAUGCCACGUGGAAUAGGAAAAAUGACUAAGCUUCAAACACUGACACAAUUUGUGUUAGAUACGACUUCCAAAGACAGUGCUAAAGCUAGUGAGCUAUGCGGAUUAAGUAAUUUGAGGGGAGAACUAGAGAUAAAAGGCUUGGAAUGCUGGAGGCAUUGUCCUACAGAAGCUAAGCAUAUCAAUUUAACAGGGAACUCACAUCUUCAUCGGUUAAAAUUAAAUUGGAAUUCACUAAUUGUUGGUGAUGUCAAUGACCUGGAAAAAGAUGAUUCAAUUCUACAGGACAUAGUGCUGCACUCCAACAUCAAGGUCUUAAUAAUAUGUGGUUUCGGUGGUGUCAGAAUGUCUAGUUUGGUCAAUUUAUCUUCAAAUUUGGAUGAAUUGAGUUUAUUCAAUUGCACGAGAUUGCAACAUCUCCAACUUGCACAGUUGCAUGUCAAACGCAUCAUCAUGAAUAUUUUGCCUUCCCUUGAGUGGAUAGUCAACGACAACAAUGGUGAUAAUUCAUCAACAUUUUGUGCAUCACUCACAGAGAUAGAUCUUUAUAUGUUACCUAAUCUUAAAAGAUGGUGCAGGUGUAGUGAAGAAGAAAUUUCUAAGGGUUGUCGUCAUCAAUUUAAGAGUCUUGAUAAUUUAUCGAUUGAUAAUUGUCAAAAUCUAAUUUCCAUUCCACAGCACAUAGAUAUCAAGAAAAUAAAGCUUUGGAAUGUCACAUCAAAGAUAUUACAACAAGCAGUCACUCAUUCCAAGGUGGAGUUUCUUGAUAUAACUUUAAUACUUAAUUUUAAAUCUCUAUGUGGAGUCCUUCAACAUUUCACUGGAGUGUGUGAAUUGAGUAUCAGUCGUUGCGAGGAGUUUGAUCCGUGCAAUGAUGAAGAUGGUUGUUACAGCAUGAAAUGGAAAGAACUCACAAACCUCAAAGUGUUGACUUUUGAAGGAAUCCCAAAAAUGAAAUAUUUGCCUGAGGGGCUUCAGCACAUUACCACUUUACAAACUCUAAGAAUCAAAGAUUGUGUCAACCUUACAUCUAUACCUGAAUGGGCAACAUCACUGCAAGUGUUAGAUAUCAAAAAAUGACCGAUGGUGACGUCUCUGCCUGCGGCGGUGGAAGAUCAAUAGGUCCGAUUUGUGAUUUAUCACGUUCUCUGCUGUGGACAAAGUUAUCAACUGAGGUAUGAUUGAAACUAUCUAAAAUUAAUAUGUUUUAUUUGUUUAUUAUUCCAUUCCUCAUCUAAUAUAUGUUUUUGUUUUGGCAUAUGAAGUUAAAUUGGAAGCUUGCUUAGGGAGGAAUGAAUCAGCAGUUAGUGUGACCAAAUAAAUAAUUAAUAUGUCCCUUACAUUGAGGUAAGCACGACUUCACAACUUAUACAUUAAGUUAAUAUUAACAUUGUCUAUUAGUCUUAUAUCAUUAUAUAAUGUGGAAAUUUUUUCCUAUUAGCAGGUUAAUAAAACUGCUCAAUGGACAUCAAUAAUGGACCGGACAUCUAACCAAAUUGUUAAGAGAUAUACUGUCAUAUCUGUCUUAGGAUGUCGAGCUUUCCCAUCUUUAAGAAUGAUGGAAAGAUGGUAACUACUCAAGUCAAAGCCCCUAGACAAGCAUAAAAUGUGUAGGUUCUGUCAAUUUUCUCCUCUUCGGUUUAUAAUGAUGGUAUAAAAUGUGUAUGUUCAUUUUUGCUAGCAGGUUGAAACUUAUGUUGAUCGUACCGAUUUCUUAUUUCAACCUAACUUCUCAAGAACCAGAAUGUGCCUCUCAAUGGCGUCUCCGAGUUUUAGGAGGCUACGUGCAAAAUAUAAAAGUGGUCCUUUAAUAAAAAAAAUUAUCGAUUUAAAUUGCAUAUAAUAUAUAUAAAAAAAAUAUUCUUAUUCUUGUAAAUAUGUAAAUUAUCAAUAUUAUUGCAUUAAAUGAAAUCAAAUAGGACAAGAAAUACAAAAUAAUUAUCUUUGUAUAUAAUGUCAAAAAGGAACAUCCUAAUCUAAGAUUAAAUUUUAUGCAACGAUUAAAAUGACUAGAACUAUAUUUACGAGUAUAGAUAACUAAUCUAUUGAUACUCAUGUGAUAUUUUAUGAACAUUAACAACUAGUAUUAUUUUAGGGCCUAAAAAUUAAUCUAUUAAUAUAGAUAUGCUAUUUUAUAGAUAUAAAUAAUAUAUAAGUAAUAUUAUAGAACCUCAAAAUUUUGAGUUGAGGCCCUCAAAAUUUUGAAGCUCGAUGCCGUCGCACAUGCCGCACAUGUGUGCAAGCCACCCGCUGGUGUCUCUACUCUUACAUUUUUUAAGUGCCUCUCGUAUAAUAUUUCAAUUUAGCUAGUCUCCUAAAUGUGUUUAUCUAAUUACCCUCUGAGGUUUAUUAUAAGGGUUCUGAAUUAUUUCUUGUUUCUAGCUGAAUUUAUAAAUAUGGUUUGCAGAAAUUUGAUUACAUAUUCACAUUUUACCUCCAUUGCUUGUUAGAAAAGUUAGAGUUUUUCAUGAUUUUGGUGUCGUUGAUAAGUGAUAACUAUUGGUAAUAUUGUGUGGUUCCUGUUUUACCAAUCUGCACAACCAGUAAAGCUUCUACCAUGAUAGCACAGGACACCUAUUAUACAGGGCUUGUCCUGUGUCCGACAUGUGCCUGCAAAGUCAUACCAUUUCAAUUGACAUUCCAAUUCACAAUUCUCAUAUAAUUUUCAUGACUAAUUGAACAAAUUAAGCAGAAGAAAUCAAACUUUUAACCAUAUAUGUUAAUAAAUAAAUGAUAACAAAUUAAUCAACCGAGUCUUCAAUGAAAUUUACUGAAUACUGAAGACUUCAACUAUGUAUUUAUUUUUUUCAUGAUAUGAUAUUAGUUACAACUAUAUAAAUGUCAUAAUUUAAUAUAAUGUUUAUUGAAAUUUUUGUAAUCACAACUAUGAUGGCAUCAACCACAUUUAUAUAAAAUUUAUGGGAGGAUAUCACAUAUUUUUUUUCUACUUAUAUCUACCUUCUUUUUGGUUCUUAUCAACUAUGAUGGCAUCAACCACGUUUAUUGAGGGAAGACUCAGCUCUCCUAAUAAACAAAACAUUCCUGUUGUAUUUAUCAUCCGUCAUUACUAAUAAAAAAAUAUGAAUAAACAAUCAUUAAAUUCUUAAACAAAAGAAGAACAAAUGCUUUGACCUUACAUUACAUCUUUGCAAACUAGAUCUGAUAUCUCUUAACAAAACACUCUGAAAACUUGUACCUGUCUGAAUUCACUUGUGACAAAAAUGGCUGAAGGUUUGUUGUUUAACACGAUUGAGAAGCUGAUCGGGAAGCUGGGUUCUAUGGCUGUGGAGACCUGGAACAUGAGAGAUGAUCUUGAAAAGCUGGUGGAAAACAUGUCUGAGAUCAAGGCUGUGGUUUUGGAUGCAGAGGAGCAGCAGAGCAACAGCCAUCAAGUUCAACUUUGGUUGGAAAAGCUCAAAGAUGCUCUUGAUGAUGCAGAUGACUUGCUUGAUGACUUCAACACUGAAGAGUUAAGGCGACAGGUGAUGACCAGUGACAAGAAGGCUAAGAAGUUUCGCAUCUUCUUCUCAUCUUCUAACCAAAUUUUCUAUUCAUUCAAAAUGGCUGGGAAAAUUAAGGAACUUGGUAAGAUAAUUCAGGACCUUAAUGUUGGUAAAAGAACUUUUAACUUUACAAAUCGUACUCCUGAGCGACGAGUUUUGAAACAAAGAGAAACUCAUUCCUUUGUUCGUGAGGAAGAAGUCAUCGGAAGAGAGGAGGAGAAGAAAGAGUUGCUAGAGUUGUUGUUUGACAACAGCAUCAAUGUGAAAGACAAUGUUUCAGUUAUUUCCAUAAUUGGAGUUGGAGGACUUGGAAAGACUACGCUUGCUCAACAUGUAUACAACGACAAACAAGUGCAACAACACUUUGAAUUGAAGAAAUGGGUGUGUGUUUCUGAUGAUUUUGAUGUAAAAGGUAUUGCUGCAAAGAUCAUCGGAUCAAAAACUAAUAUUGUUGAGAUGGAUAAAGUGCAGCUGGAGCUUCGCGAAAAAGUUGAGGGCAAGAGAUAUCUGCUUGUCUUGGAUGACAUUUGGAAUGAGGAUGGUGAUCUUUGGCUUCAAUUGAUGACACUACUGAAAGACGGAGCAAAAGGAAGUAAAAUAAUUAUCACCACGAGAAGUGAGAUGGUAGCCAAGGUAUGUCGUUCAUCUUCAAUCUUCUUUUUAAAGGGUCUUGAUGAAAAACAAUCUUGGAGAUUAUUCAGCCAACUAGCUUUUGAGAAUGAAAAGGAUCUAGAGAAUGAGAAUUUGGUGUCAAUUGGCAAGGAAAUUGUGAAAAAAUGCUCAGGUGUUCCUCUCGCCAUUAGAAUCAUUGGAUGCCUAAUGUUAACCAUGGAGGAUUGGUCAACUUUCAAGAACAAAGAUCUUGUGAAAAUUGAUGAACAAGGUGGCCAUAAAAUUUUUCAACUUAUCAAACUAAGUUAUGAUCACCUACCCUUUCAUUUGAAAAACUGUUUUGCUUUUUGUUCUUUGUUUCCACAAGAUUUUGAAAUUGAGAAGCAAAUGCUGAUUCGCCUUUGGAUUGCACAAGGAUUUGUUCAGUCAUCAGAUGAAAAUAUAAGUUUAGAAGAUAUUGGUGAAAAGUACUUCAUGGAUUUUGUUCAUAAGUCUUUCUUUCAAAAUAUCACCAAACGAUUUGAUGGCAAGG